rnacentral:rRNA from 1 species
AUUGAACGCUGGCGGCAUGCUUUACACAUGCAAGUCGAACGGUAACAGGCCUUCGGGUGCUGACGAGUGGCGAACGGGUGAGUAAUGCAUCGGAACGUACCCAGAGGUGGGGGAUAACGCAGCGAAAGCUGUGCUAAUACCGCAUGUGAUCUGAGGAUGAAAGCGGGGGACCGAGCAGCAAUGUUUGGCCUCGCGCCUUUGGAGCGGCCGAUGUCGGUUUAGCUAGUUGGUGGGGUAAAGGCCUACCAAGGCGACGAUCCGUAGCUGGUCUGCGAGGACGACCAGCCACACUGGGACGGGAACACGGCCCGGACUCCUACGGGAGGCGGCGGUGGGGAAUUUUGGACAAUGGGCGCAAGCCUGAUCCAGCAAUGCCGCGGGCGGGAAGAAGGCCUUCGGGUUGUAAACCGCUUUUGGCAGGAACGAAACGGUGUCCGCUAAUACCGGGCGCUAAUGACGGUACCUGCAGAAUAAGCACCGGCUAACUACGUG